UUGAACGCUGGCGGAAUGCUUUACACAUGCAAGUCGAGCGGCAGCGCGGGGGCAACCCUGGCGGCGAGCGGCGAACGGGUGAGUAAUACAUCGGAACGUACCCAGUUGUGGGGGAUAGCCCGGCGAAAGCCGGAUUAAUACCGCAUAAGUCCUGAGGGAGAAAGCGGGGGACCGUAAGGCCUCGCGCGAUUGGAGCGGCCGAUGUUCGAUUAGCUAGUUGGUGGGGUAAAGGCCUACCAAGGCGACGAUCGAUAGCUGGUCUGAGAGGACGACCAGCCACACUGUAACUGAGACACGGCCCAGACUCCUACGGGAGGCAGCAGUGGGGAAUUUUGGACAAUGGGCGAAAGCCUGAUCCAGCCAUGCCGCGUGCGGGAAGAAGGCCUUCGGGUUGUAAACCGCUUUUGUCAGGGAAGAAAUCCUUUGAGCUAAUACCUCGGAGGGAUGACGGUACCUGAAGAAUAAGCACCGGCUAACUACGU
rnacentral:rRNA from 1 species